UACGAAGGUGGCAAGCGUUGUUCGGAUUUACUGGGCGUACAGGGAGCGUAGGCGGUUGGAUAAGCCCUCCGUGAAAUCUCCAGGCUUAACCUGGAAAGUGCAGAGGGGACUGUUCAGCUAGAGGAUGGGAGAGGAGCGCGGAAUUCCCGGUGUAGCGGUGAAAUGCGUAGAGAUCCGGCGGAACACCGGUGGUGAAGGCGGUCUCCUGGGCCGAGGGCCGACGCUGAGGCGCGAGAGCGUGGGGAGCGAACCGG
rnacentral:rRNA from 1 species